rnacentral:lncRNA from 1 species
UGCAACACUCACUUCACCAGAGCCCAGGUCCCUCAUAAAGCAGGCUGCAGUGCCUCCUAGUGGCCGAAAUCAGAAAGGGCCAUAACUGAACUGAGACUUCGUAAGCCCUUUUCAGGUUAAUGUGGGGAUCUGGGCAGAUUAUGAGGUUCACUGAUUUUAUAUGAAGAAAAUAAAAAGUAUGAACCCAAUUCUAGUUAUUAAUCAAGAAACAAUUAUUUAUUGGCGAAACGUGCUAGUUUAAAUGUAGUGAUCAAUGACACUCUCCAGGUGCUCUCUCAUAGUGGAGGGUCGUGAUGAUGGAGGAUCAGAAACCCGCAAACUUGGCUGAGAAAAUGGAGCCGAGGAAAAUUCUCGGGCAAAUUCACUGAGGAAGAGUCGAUCACCAUUCCUGUUGCCUGACUGGUGUAACAUCAACUCUCAGGCAUGUCAGAUCAAGAGGGAGAACCAUAGUAAACGAAGAAAGUGGAGCCGUGUGCUUGCGCUGAGAGCCAUGUGGAACCAGUCCUACAAAUGCUAGAAGACUGACAACAAGAGAAAGAUGAUCAACUUAAAAUGAAAAGCGCACUCUUGGUUCUAAAGACUUUUGUUCACAACACUCUUAUUACCAGUGAUGGCACAAUGGUCUUUUAAAGCAGCCAGACUGUUGAAAUAACACGAGUGAUGCUUCUCUGUCAUUUCUAAAGGACACGAUUUCACAUAAGAUUUCCUGUUUCUCUGGCCCUUACAACCUGUCUGUCCCCUCUUCCGUAAUGAUUCUGAGUGUUGGGUCCAGGGAUUACAUUGUAGUUGUGUGGACUGCGGCUGGGCAACC